rnacentral:lncRNA from 1 species
UAUCUUCUAUUUAAGACUACUCUGAGAUUCUCCUGACGACCCCAACAUGAAGACCGGCUUGCGAGCAUCGAAUCGUCACCGACUCCACUGGGUCAAGACCCUGAGCUAUUCAAGACCUCCAACAAGACCUUCAGCUCACAUCUGAGCUCUGUUUGGAAACAACGGACUGCCUAUUGAGAUUCCGGUUCCAUCUUGGUGCUUCGCCAGCCUGACGCUUGGCCUACAGCAGCCAGCUUGUGUUUAUAUUACGGGAGAAGGCAGCUGAGUGAGACAGCGCCCAAAGAGUACCGUUGCUUGGACUUGUGCUCGGCUUGACACGCUCGUGUCAUUGCCCGCAGUCCGCCCCGGCACAUUCUCUCUCAGGCAUUGCGCGACCCCAGCCCUCCUGGCUCGGCGCCCAAGCCUACAACUAUAUCCUGACCGCCAACGACGACCCAGUGGAUUUAUCAAGGCCUGGUUUACUUUGGUGCAAUACCUGACAUCAAUUGCAACGUCGGACAUCACCAGCAACAUCUGUGUUCAAGCGCAUCCCCCUUGCGACGAACGUAACAGCCGCAGGCGUCGUCAUAUGACUGCCGCUGGGAGAAGCUCCGGUGUAGUCGGGCCCCAAACUCAUCGCGCUGCAAAAGGUGUCCGCCCAGCAGGACGUGGCCGGCCCGCGCAGAGUUGGUUUCGCUACCGGGACUUACGACUCAUCGACUUCUCUUCUUCGUCGUCAAGUUCAAGCUAUUCUGCAUUUACAAGCUUGAGUAUUUAUUGACUACGACUUCUUUUCCUACUACAGACUACAAGUCUAUACUUCUGCGGCCUACCUGGCCUAAACUCACACAGGUCCCUUCCUAGCCCCCCGCAUGCUAGAUUGCAUUGUCGGCCUACGUGGACGUUGCACCCUCUCCAUGCGGGUCCCACUCCAGGACAAAUCGUGUCCCCAGGGAGGCGCCCACGUGACGGCACCCAAAACCCCCUGAUAGAUAGUCCUUUAAGGAUGCCACCACGCCGUCCCUGACUGGUGUGUGAAGGACAGUAUAUCAGGGGGGUUUCACCGCGUGCCGUCCGGGGGGGUGCGCUUCCCCAGCCAAACCCGCAAGCCGAGGCCAGGAGACGUCGCCCCAAGGAUACAAACUCUGCCACUUAAUUACAUGCUACAUGCAAUCUACUCGAGCAAUAGCGCUUGACGGCAGGCUAAAACGUGCUCGUCGAGGCUCAAGUCACGAAAUUGACCGACCAACAUCCUGCAUACGCGUUGUUUUAGGGCGUCAUCGAUUGCCAUCAACACAGACAUCUGCAUGAGUGUAAUCAGGCUACUAUCUGGCCUGAUAUGGCGUGUCCUGGCGAACGCGACAUGUAGAUGUUUGAGGUGCCCCGGGGUUACUCUAAUGAUCUUUUGUGUGGUAUUAGAUGCUAUAUGAAUGGUAAUGGGCUGGGGACACGACCGGCCCCUAGGGCCGUGCGCGAGUUGGACGUUACUGACCAACCUCGCAGCGCCACCUUGCCGGUUCCUAAUGCGCACGCUGCCUAUUAAUUGCUAUUCAUAUUGCUGGGUCCCUUUUAUGGGGCCACGCGGCCACACACCGGUGCUCGCGCAGACCCGGACCUCAACUCGGCGACGCGGCGAUCUUAAGUGGGGGGCCAAAUUCUGUGCGCUGUAUUUACACAACUGGGUCCCUCACGGCUGCCCGGACAGCAAAUGGCCGCGCUUCCGACACAAACGCCGCGGAGCGCACUCCCGUAUGCGGCCCCAGGUACGUCGCGAGCACGCGCAAUGCUCCUCGCAACAAAGCUGGGUCCCUCACGCCCGGCGCCCCGGCCCCGGCCCCGGCCCCGGAGGAUCGCCCGCGCGGCUAAGUCCGGUUUCUAUUAUUAUUCUUCUUAUGAUAUAGGAAUAAUAAUAAUAAUAAUAAUAUCUACGCAGGGCACAGGUGCCCGCGUGUCUUAAGGAGGAGUGAGACAAGCUCACGCCACCAUCGGAAAACUUGAUUUCCCUACCCCGGCUCCCCUGCACGGGGGCCGCCAUUGGCGGUCCCCUGGGUGCGCCCUCCCGGGCGGCAUCGGGUGUUGGCAAUGCCCAUCUCUCGCUCUAGCCGGUAGUACAGGUUUGCGGUGCCCCGGAGUGUGGUGACGCUAUGCAUGUGGAGACGUGUGCAGCAGGCCUUGGCUGCCUGCGGUUUGGCUCCCAGGUCUUUGAGGAGAGUUUCAAGGGUACGGGGGACAGUGCCACCGUGGCCCAGUGUAAUAACGUGUUUAGCAUCGUAGUGUACCGUCCACCCUGCAGCUCGCAUGGCAGUGGCAAGGGCGGCGUGCUGUGCUUGUUUUUGAAUGAGCUUCUCGCUGUGGUGCAGGUCAGAGGUGUAUCCAACUUCAAGGAUGUACACUGGGUAGGCCCCUUUGUUGGCUGGUGGGGAUGUCAUGAAGCGUUCUGCUUCAGACCGGGGAAGGUUCGGCAUAAACAGAAUGUCAGGCCGCAUCCUGUUGAGGUCUGCAGCGGGCACUUGCGGGCAGAGCCAGGACGGCGGCCGCAUGCCCGCACAGUACUCAGGCAGUUCAGCUCGGGAGGUGGCAUCCAUUAUCAUGUAGCCACCACCGUUGUGACCAUGGUGUAGGCACUCGGCAAUCGUCCGCACUGCAGUGUUGUGUUUGGCUAUCCUAGCGCCAACGAGUUGGGGGUGCGCGCAGUGGCCGGCAAGGUGACCUGCGGUGCCACGCUCUGGGUCAGAUCCGCGGCUGCGCUGGGUGUGGGCACAGAGACCACAUUUGUCACUGUCUCGUAGUUUAAACAAAGCCAGCCGGGCCGGGCAGAUGAGGCCUCCCUGACGAGCAUUCUGUAUGAACCGGCGUAGGCCGUGGCUGGCGUCCGAGUUCGUCAUGUACGCAUUACUGGCGCGUGGGUCAAGGCUGGGUGCUGCCUCGGCCCAUUUCUCAGUGUACAGGGUUUUGUUGGCGUAUCCACCACGGCAGCUGGGGGCCAUUGCCCUGGUGAGGCCCCGGUUUAGGUCCGACACGUAGUGCGUGGCUGUGCUAUCGUCGUCCCUGGUGACCGUGAAGGUCGGCCACCAGUGCCGGGCGUGCGGGUCGUUGUCGGCCGGUUCGGAUACAUCGGCGGGUUUUUCCUGGGUGGCGACGGCAGCCGCCCCUUUAUCGGCUUCCUCGUUGCCGUGUAGCCCGGUGUGCGAGAUCACUUUAAUUAGAGCGGUGGGUGCGCCCCGGGCGUGGCGUGCAUGGAGCAAUGCCACGAUUGAAUCCAGGAGGUCCCGAUGUUUACUCAGAUGCAGUCGCCGAGGCUCGUUAAUAGCUCGUUUGAUUAGGUACAAGCUUGCAACAGAAUCUGAUGCAAUAGUGAGCUUCUUGGUUGCAAAUUCUUUACCUUCGCCACCAAAUUCUGCGAGGGCAGCACGAAUUGCUGCCAAUUCAGCUCUCGUAAUAGUGUUAGUGCACCCAGCGCCAUUUGGAUUCACGUAGACAACGCGAGAAUCGCUGAACCAGGCGCAGGCGCCGGCAACCUGGACUUCUUUGCCAUUGUCAGUUUUGAUUUUGCUUACCGAACCAUCUGUCCAGACAGUGCCAUUCACGUCGUGGGCCAGAGCAUGGUGGGUCUGGAAUCGCGCGUUAGGAAAGCGUCGUGCUUCUUCAGCCAUGGCGUGUAUCGUCUUUGGGUUAGCGUGCUGGUAUUUGGCUUGCUUUAGAAGUGAGUUUGGGAGGGCCGGGCAGGUCGGGGCCGUGGCCGUGUGUGUCCACGUGCGCGGGUCGCUGAUGUGCGUGGGUGCGUUCGCCCCCCGUUUCAGUGUGUCCACGAGCCGUUUCAGGCGGGGGGCAAAGCACUGGAAACCGGCGGGGUUCCCAACAAUGACCAGUCGGAGCCCCUUCUGGCGUUCAGCCUGGGUGUUGGUGCCAAGUCCUGUGUCAAGGCCCGCGGUGCCCGCGGACCAGUUGGCCAGCUCGUGGCAAAGUGGGUGUUGAAGCCACUGCGUGUGGGGGAAGUGGCCGCUUUGGGAAGCGCCAAUACAGUAAGGGUUGGUUCCUGUGAGUCACGCAUAGCCUCGGCGCAUGCGAGGGCCCACAUGAGCGCCUUCCGUGCAUCGUGGGGGGUAGAGGGGGGGUGGGCAUAUUGCAAGCCGGUCCAUGCGGUCUGGUAGGCAUCGUGCAAUGCGCCAAAGGCCCCAUCAGCAGGGUCUCGUGUCCAGUAUUCGUGGGCUGCAGUGGAGGAGUUUAGUGGGGACGCAAACAUUUCCCGAAUGUGUACUGUUUGUGUGACCCGCAGGCAUUGGACAAUGGCUGCUACUGUACCUGCCGGCAGCGACACCUGGUGCAUUGGCAUGGCCUUGUGUUGUGGAACUAAUGCGUACGUAGACCAGAGCGGAAGGCGGAGUGGGCUUGCAGGCGGCACGAGAGUAGGCAGUCAGUAGCGCAAGUUGCGAAUUCACAUGUUACCUCGUAACCGACGGUAAACGCUGUGGACGGUCGCGCCCAUGGCUGGCUGACGGGAGGUGGCUGCUGUAUUGGGAUGGCUGGGCUGGACGACGCCGGCCGGGCUGGCGUUGGGACUACCAGAAAGGAUGCGCCCAAAACCAACCUGGAGAACACCAGCGCCACCAUUAGUAGGGAAACAAAAGGCGGAAGCCAGCGUGUCGGACAGACCUGGACUGGGCUACAUAGGCUGGGCACUUGCAGCACGCCCGCCGGCCUGACUGCGUGCCAGCUUACUGGUUAUGCUGGUGGCCAAUCACCGGAUCGCUAACUCAGUUAGCGAUUUGACUCGUCCUUACGGCAGAAGGGACCCGGGUACAAAUCCGGAUAAAAGCCCAAUUACGCAAAAGGCGAAAGAUUGGUGCGAAACCGAUUGGUGAUCCCACGAACAAUAGGUAAUUGCCCUUAGUGGCAAUUGUGGGCUUACGCCCGCUGCAACCUAGAAAGGUCGUGGUGCAGAAGUCCGAUUUAGUGGCGAGGUCCAAGGUUCAAGACAAGUUCAAGAUCCAAGGCUCGAGGAGGAGCGCCAUGGCUCCUCGGUUUGCACGAACUGGCAGUGCUCCACUACUAUAACGCGGCGUUUCCCUAGCUCGAUAUGCUAGGUGUGCAGGCUUGGAUGUAGUGGACUUUGAAGAGCGGCCUAGGACUUGGCGGUUGUAGUUUCGGAGGUUGUGACUCUUUCGUGGUGAGGCGUCAGCGUGAGGGGGGCGGGCCCUCUCGCCCUAGUCACCUUGCCCCGUUAAUCCAUGCCAGGCCCUAUGGGCCGGCGUUGUAAUUAUUAUUAUUAUUAUUAUGCUGGUGGCCAAUGAAGAGCGCGAGUGAGCUGCUGGUUUGUUUGACUUGUAGCGAUGGCAAUGCAUCACCAGCGUCAAGUCAUGCCAGGACUUCCAGCCAGCCAGCAACUCGUCGGUACAGUAACUCCGGCGUUCGACCAGCCGCGCACUCUUGCCCUUGCCGCUGCCAAUUGUUUGCCAUUUGUUGGGUAUGGGAAUCAGCUGCACCCUACAGGACUGUGCCAACUUGCCUUACCACUGUCCCAUCACACACCAGCGUCAAGUUGUUCGCCCGGUAAGAUGAUGUUGACUCCGCCUUUCUACCGCGUGCGUGUCCGCCAGGGGUGGAAGAGCUGACUGCUGCGAGUCAGACACUCGUACAAGACAGCAGGGCGAAAGGGGAAGGAGGAGCCGCCCCGCUUGCAAGGGCGAGAUCGAAUGCUAUGUGUGCGCAUGCAAACAACCAGGGCAUGCAUGCCAGUCAGUCCCAGCCUAGCCGCCGUUGCCUGGUUAUUACGUUGGUGUCAGCCGCCGUAAACGUGUGGUCGACACCAUCAGCAGAACAAACGUCAAACAGGAUGGCAUCGCUUGCAUUCCUCAAGCGGGGGAGACCAAAGCAGCAGAGAGGUGUGGGGCAACCGGACAAGUGACUGUGCAGGAUGCAUGUGGGCGUUACUGGGGCAGGUCCAGGUCUGGGCGGGGUCCCGUGCACGGUGCGUCCCCACCCAUUCGCCGCAACCAGAGUGAUUCCUAAACAUAGCUUCUAGCCACAAGCAUGUCGGGCUCCCCGGGGGGUCGGACCGGAGCCAGGAGUGGGGAAGGCCCGGCGGGUGACUGCUCUCUGUACACGGCACGCGCCGUGUCCGAUGUACAGUGCCGGCCUUGGCCCUGUGUAGCCCAGACUCCAAGGCGAUGCGCUGAGUGCGCUAUUCAUAUGCAUAUAAGCACGACCGCGGCAGCUGCCCCUGGCAAACAGCAACACCCGAGGUGCUGUGCUCCAUUUUAUGGUCACCCUGGAAUUGCCAAACCCGCUCGCUCGCUUGCAACAUAAUGGGGCAACGCCGGCACUUCCGUGCGGGCAAGGCUAACAUAAUAUGGCCCUGCGCUUUCGGGCGCUGCGCUGGUGCCUUGUGCACGAGGAAAAGAGGCACAUGCAGGUUGGGAACGCACGCCAAGCACCUGAGGAACCCUGCUGUAGCGCCAGUCAUAUCCAGGUACCAGCACUAACCGGCGGAACCCCAGGGCCAUGUCUGCGGGUACUGACAAUUGUGCCUGCGCGCAUCGAAGGUGGAUGGGUCGCGAGCGGGGCACAUGGUGCAACACCGGCGCCCGAGACUCUACAGUGGCUAGUCUAUCCGUUGUUGACAUGGCCAGCGCCCUUCUUCUUUACAGCCGUAAGGCGGCGUUGAUGUACACUCAUAUGCGUGAAUGGUUAGUCCAAGCUGUGUGGCGAUAAGUAGCUGCACCUCAUCCUCUGCGUUCUUAAUUUCGUGUACUAGAAAGCAGGCAAGCCUCAUUUGUUGAGUACAGGCGAAGAGAGGCGGCCGAAGGCGCGGAGUUUAGCGCCCCACCCUCCUGGACCGCUUUGGGUGUUGGGACUGAUUUAUUUUUAUAGGCAUUAGUCAAUAUGCGCAGUGUGGCUACGUCUGCGUGCACAACUUGGCGAGUUGACGAAGAUGGGUGCGCAUCCCCCGGCCGGUGGACGCGCGACCACUUUCUGUUAGACACCCGAAAAGCCCGAACUUCUGCGACAGGUACUCUAAACUAACAACAGACUAUUGAUAUCAACCAUGCGCCAAGUGACAGCAGUGGCCGGGGGGUUCAUUGCUGCGUCGGUCGACACAGCCAGCUGCUCAGAUGCGCUGCUAUGCUCAGGAAGCAAACAUUGAAUGCAAUUACAUCUCUAAAGUAGUUUACAGCUCAGGAAACGCGGCGGUUUCAGCGACUGCUGCGGGGUUACUGGGGGGUUCAGGGGCAAGGUGCGGGGCCGGCCCCACGAGCCCACAGGCCUCGCCCCAGACUUCUCACCCCUGUGUUCCCACGUAAUAAACACCACCGGAAGCCGCGGCAAGGAUCCUCAGGGAGCGCUGGCUAUCCCGGCCAGGCCGGCGUGUGGCACACAGAGCAUUGCCACCCGGCAACGACGAAGGGCUUGGUUCCGCACUCCAGCCUGAAGAGGUGAGCAUGCUGGGAGCGCUGUACCUUGUGCACGCGCCUUCUGAGCUCAGCCGUGGGGGCACUAAUUGGCGCUGACUGCUGAUCUGGCCCCUGCUGUAUUGCAGCAAGGAGCGGAGGGAGAUGCGCCUGGCCGUCGUGAAGCAGUGGGCUACUCUUCCCCACGUGCUGCUGGGUGCCCCGACAACACCAAGGGAACGUGAGUACAAGGGUGGGGUGCGGGAACGGGGAAGGGGCAGAGGGAGAUGAUGUUGAUAGCAGGGGUACGCGUGCAUUGUGAAGGCAGCGAUCUGCGGCGUUGCCCACCCCAAGUGGCCUGGAGGGGGCGUCCAGGCCGGUUCCCGCCAGGGGGACAGGGGAAGGGCAGCCGUCUCUUUACUUCGUUCGUGGCGGAACGUGUCUGAUGCGGUUUAACUGGGUUUAACUACGCCAACCGCCUGCAAUGUAGGGAGGACGGCGUGUGCGGCCCCAGCGCUCGUAUCUUGCACCUGGAGCCCUGCUGCACAGCCAGCGGUGUGGUGCUUGACGGCAACGGCCUGGUGGAGAGCAUCGUCUACGAGGACAAGGUGGCUGCGAAGCCCCUGCCGGAGGUAACCGAUAGCAACGGUAUCGGCAGGGCCUUGUGUUCGGCUGACCUGGACCCCCAGUCCACCGACCGAUUGAGGGUGUUCGACGAGAUAAAGCGCCUGUCGGGCGACGCCAUCAAGCUGUACGCUAGCAUCGCCGGCCUGAGGGUGACGGCCGGCAACGAUAUGUGUCGGCCGCGCAAGCCAGGUGAGACGCCGGCGCAAGCGUAUGCGACCAUCGCGCGCGAGUCGCCGGUGUGGUGGGCUGACCUCGAGCGCCAGCUGCCGUGGCGGAUGCUGGACCUGACUGGGCAGCACGCUAUCGUUCGCGCGACAAAGGCGGUGGGCAGCACCGCAGAGGCCGCGUGGGUGGGCGCAGUCGGCCAGGUGCGUUUACUUAUGGGGCGGGGUGGACGGCGCAAUGUUUGGGCACAUAGGGGAAAUGCGGGGGAGCUGAAUGUCCGGUGCAUGUGCGGUGGGGCCUGAAGUGUAACAACCAACUGCUGUG